rnacentral:rRNA from 1 species
ACGCUCGACACCUACGGGAGGCAGCAGUGGGGAAUAUUGCACAAUGGGGGGAACCCUGAUGCAGCGACGCCGCGUGAGGGAAGAAGGUUUUCGGAUUGUAAACCUCUGUCCUUGGUGACGAUAAUGACGGUAGCCAAGGAGGAAGCCACGGCUAACUACGUGCCAGNCGCGUAGUAUGNGCGGCGNGNGAGACG